rnacentral:rRNA from 1 species
UACGUAGGGGGCGAGCGUUGUCCGGAAUCAUUGGGCGUAAAGCGCGUGUAGGCGGCCCGAUAAGUCCGCUGUGAAAGUCCAGGGCUCAACCCUGGGAUGCCGGUGGAUACUGUCGGGCUCGAGUCCGGAAGAGGCGAGUGGAAUUCCUGGUGUAGCGGUGAAAUGCGCAGAUAUCAGGAGGAACACCAAUGGCGAAGGCAGCUCGCUGGGACGGUACUGACGCUGAGACGCGAAAGCGUGGGGAGCAAACAGG